rnacentral:lncRNA from 1 species
UUUCCCACAAUAGAAAUGAUGUUUAUUGGCCUAGAAAAUGAAGACUGCACCUUCUGCUCUUUUCAAAACAUUGGAAUGACAUUUGCUCUGUAAAACCACCUGAUAAAUGUGUUCUGAUGGUUUUAAGAAACUGCACAAUGGAUAUUCCUCGAGUAGUCUGGAUGUUUUGGCAUGUCUCAUUCCAAAGGCGCCUGCCCGCCAAAAAGGAAAUUUCUUUCAGGCUGCAGGAAUAAUGAACUUCAGGAAUUCCAUGUGAACUGGAAUGACCUCCAGGAAGUGAUGCAGAGUGAAAGGAACAGAACCAGGAGAACCUUAUACACAGAGACUGAUACACUGUGGUACAAUCGAAUGUAAUGGACUCCUCUACUAGCAGCAAUGGAAUGAUCAAGGACAAUUCUGAGGGACUUAUGAGAAAGAACACUAUCCACAUCCAGAGAAAGAACUGUGGGAGUAGAAAUACAGAAGAAACAACUGCUUGAUCACAUGGGUUGAUGGGGAUAUGAUUGGGGAUGUAGACUCUAAAUGAUCACCCUGGUGCAAAUACUAAUAAUAUGGAAAUAGGUCUUGAACAAUGACACAUGUAAAACCCAGUGGAAUUGCUCAUUGGCUAUGG